rnacentral:rRNA from 1 species
UACGAAGGGGGCUAGCGUUGCUCGGAAUUACUGGGCGUAAAGCGCACGUAGGCGGAUUGUUAAGUCGGGGGUGAAAUCCUGGAGCUCAACUCCAGAACUGCCUUCGAUACUGGCGAUCUCGAGUUCGGGAGAGGUGAGUGGAACUGCGAGUGUAGAGGUGAAAUUCGUAGAUAUUCGCAAGAACACCAGUGGCGAAGGCGGCUCACUGGCCCGAUACUGACGCUGAGGUGCGAAAGCGUGGGGAGCAAGCAGG